rnacentral:rRNA from 1 species
GGAUGCGAUCAUACCAGCACUAAAGCACCGGAUUCCAUCAGAACUCUGUAGUUAAGCGUGCUUGGGCGAGAGUAGUACUAGGAUGGGUGACCUCCUGGUAAGUCCUCGUGUUGCAUUCC